rnacentral:lncRNA from 1 species
GCAGGAGAAAAAAAAUUUAGAAUGCAACAGUUAUUUUCUGAAAGUUUUAAAUACUCUAGAUCAUAUAUAUAGGCUAGAGCUAUUAUACUUUUAUAAGUAUAGAGCCCUUUAUAUUCAUGAGUUAUUUUCAAUGAUGAAGCUUCCGAAUCGACGAUCCACUCCAUUAAAUAUGAUCUAGAGUAUUUGAAACUUUCAGAAAAUAAAUUUCGUAAUUUUUUAAAAUCAUAAUAAAGUUCAUCAAGCGUGCGUAAAAUGAACAGUCAAAAUCGAACGACCUCCUAAAAAUAGAUGAUCGGAUCCUUCAAUUUAAAAUCGGAGUUAUUGAUCUUUAUCUAGAUAGUGAAUAGAAUUUUCUAUCAAAAAUUCAACCUAUUACAAUUCUUUUGCACCGUUAAACUAACAAGUAUCUCAUACCGGCCGUUAAAAAUUAUCGAUUUUGUGAGCUUUUGAUCGUAAUGUAAAUGAUGUCAAAAAAUUAUGAAAUUUAAUUUCUAGAAGUUUUAAAUACUCUAGAAAAUAUUUAACGGUAUGGAUCAUCGAUUCGGAAGCUUUAUCAUCGAAAACGACUUAUAAGUACGAAGUCGAUUAUACUCAUAUAAGAGUAUAGUAGCCUCACUCUAUAUAUAUAUAUAUAUAUAUAUAUAUAUAUCUAAUUCAUUCUAAAAUUAUUAAUUUUUAUACUUUUAAUAUAAGUUAUUUAGAUUUUUAU